UACGUAGGCAGCGAGCGUUGUUCGGAAUUACUGGGCGUAAAGAGUGUGUAGGCGGUGCUCUAAGUUCGGUGUGAAAUCUCCUGCUUAACUGGGAGGGUGCGCCGGAAACUGGAGUGCUCGAGCGUGGGAGAGGAAAGCGGAAUUCCUGGUGUAGCGGUGAAAUGCGUAGAUAUCAGGAGGAACACCUGUGGUGUAGACGGCUUUCUGGACCAUAGCUGACGCUGAGGCACGAAAGCGUGGGUAGCAAACAGG
rnacentral:rRNA from 1 species